UGCUUAACACAUGCAAGUCGAACGGGAUGCUUAGGCAUCUAGUGGCGGACGGGUGAGUAACGCGUGAGAAUCUGGCUCCAGGUCGGGGAUAACAGUUGGAAACGACUGCUAAUACCGGAUGUGCCGAGAGGUGAAAGAUUUAUUGCCUGGAGAUGAGCUCGCGUCUGAUUAGCUAGUUGGUGGUGUAAGGGACCACCAAGGCGUCGAUCAGUAGCUGGUCUGAGAGGAUGAUCAGCCACACUAGGACUGAGACACGGCCCAGACUCCUACGGGAGGCAGCAGUGGGGAAUUUUCCGCAAUGGGCGAAAGCCUGACGGAGCAAUACCGCGUGAGGGAGGAAGGCUCUUGGGUCGUAAACCUCUUUUCUCAAGGAAGAAGAAAGUGACGGUACUUGAGGAAUAAGCAUCGGCUAACUCCGUGCCAGCAGCCGCGGUAAUACGGAGGAUGCAAGCGUUAUCCGGAAUGAUUGGGCGUAAAGGGUCUGCAGGUGGAACUGAAAGUCUGCUGUUAAAGAGUUUGGCUUAACCAAAUAAAAGCGGUGGAAACUACAGAACUAGAGUGCGGUAGGGGCAAAAGGAAUUCCUGGUGUAGCGGUGAAAUGCGUAGAUAUCAGGAAGAACACCGGUGGCGAAAGCGUUUUGCUAGACCGUAACUGACACUGAGGGACGAAAGCUAGGGGAGCGAAUGGGAUUAGAUACCCCAGUAGUCCUAGCCGUAAACGAUGGAUACUAGGCGUGGCUUGUAUCGACCCGAGCCGUGCCGGAGCUAACGCGUUAAGUAUCCCGCCUGGGGAGUACGCACGCAAGUGUGAAACUCAAAGGAAUUGACGGGGGCCCGCACAAGCGGUGGAGUAUGUGGUUUAAUUCGAUGCAACGCGAAGAACCUUACCAAGACUUGACAUCCUGCGAAUCCCGGUGAAAGCUGGGAGUGCCUUAGGGAGCGCAGAGACAGGUGGUGCAUGGCUGUCGUCAGCUCGUGUCGUGAGAUGUUGGGUUAAGUCCCGCAACGAGCGCAACCCUCGUUUUUAGUUGCCAGCAUUAAGUUGGGCACUCUAGAGAGACUGCCGGUGACAAACCGGAGGAAGGUGAGGAUGACGUCAAGUCAGCAUGCCCCUUACGUCUUGGGCUACACACGUACUACAAUGCUACGGACAGAGGGCAGCAAGCCAGGGAUGGCAAGCGAAUCCAGAAACCGUAGCUCAGUUCAGAUCGAAGGCUGCAACUCGCCUUCGUGAAGGAGGAAUCGCUAGUAAUUGCAGGUCAGCAUACUGCAGUGAAUUCGUUCCCGGGCCUUGUACACACCGCCCGUCACACCAUGGAAGUUGGUCACGCCCGAAGUCAUUACCCCAACCGAAAGGAGGGGGAUGCCUAAGGUAGGACUGGUGACUGGGGUGAAGUCGUAACAAGGUAGCCGUACCAGAAGGUGCGGCUGGAUCACCUCCUUU
rnacentral:rRNA from 1 species